AUGAUCAGGUGUUCGGCCCCCCUUCCUGAGGGCUUGGACAAUCCGGUGCUGGAAAAGAUGCUUGAGCCAGCACCUUAUCUAGUGCCCUCAAAGGAAUAUGAAGGGGGGAAUAAAGAGGGCGAAAGCGGGCCUCACUCGCUACUUAUUCCAACUGAGGGAAUGAGCGCCUCUGCGAGGGAGGAUAACCAAGGGGAAGAAUCCGACAAUCUCUCUCCCCGGGGAAGGAAGAGGACUACCUCUGAAGAUCCGAAAACUAAGGUUUCCAAAUGGGAGAAGAAAUCUUCGUCAGAGGGUCCUGCCUCGGAGGGUAUUCUUGCCGCACAAUGUCCGCGCGGGGUUCAGCCCUAUACCGAGCUUCCGGAUCGCAGCCCUUCUCGACAGAGUUCAUCUUCGAGGGAUCUCCUUCCGAAGAUGAUGGAGAGCGAAAUGCCUCCCCCUGACACCCCGCCUCCGGAGGUGGGCGACCCUGAAGUGUCGUCGCGGAGGAUAUCUCCGAAUCCGCCAAGGCCAGGGGAUAACCCUUUGGCUACCUGA
rnacentral:rRNA from 1 species